rnacentral:misc_RNA from 1 species
GAUGAAGAACGUUAGCGAAAUGCGAUAAGUAAUGUGAAUUGCAGAUUUCAGUGAAUCAUCGAAUCUUUGAACGCACCUUGCGCCUUGUGGUAUUCCGCAAGGCAUGCCCGUUUGAGUAUCAUUAAAUCAUCAACUUCAAAACCUUUGUGUUGUUGAAGCUUGGUCUUGAGGGUCUUGCAGGCUUUUCACAAGUCAGCUCCCUUUAAAUUCAUUAGCGAGACUUCCCUUUGCUGAACCGUCUCUGACGUGAUAAUUAUCUGCGUCAAGUUGGGUUCUCGUUGGGCUUGCUUCUAAUCGUCCUAGGACAACCGGUUUGAAGUGCAUAUAUGCACCUCUUUCCAAACCUAUUUUGAUCUCAAAUCGGGUAGGACUACCCGCUGAACUUAAGCAUAUCAAUAAGCGGAGGA